AACUGAUACUACCUGCGGGAACCUGCGGAAGGAUCAUCAAAGAAUUUUCCAAAAGAAAAAAAGUGAGAGUGACUUUCUUCUCUCUUGUAAAAGAGAGAGGGGGUGCUCUCUCUUUUUUUCUCCACAAACAAACGAUCACAACUAUUGAAAAGAUAUGAGAAAAGGGGGAUUUGAUUUGGUUGGCCUGAUAAAAAAGUGUUUGCCUGAUAAUCUGAUGAUUUGGAAAAGAAAGAAAUACAA
rnacentral:misc_RNA from 1 species